AGGGAAACUUACGCUAAUACCGCAUACGACCUACGGGUGAAAGCAGGGGAUCUUCGGACCUUGCGCGAUUGAAUGAGCCGAUGUCGGAUUAGCUAGUUGGCGGGGUAAAGGCCCACCAAGGCGACGAUCCGUAGCUGGUCUGAGAGGAUGAUCAGCCACACUGGAACUGAGACACGGUCCAGACUCCUACGGGAGGCAGCAGUGGGGAAUAUUGGACAAUGGGCGCAAGCCUGAUCCAGCCAUACCGCGUGGGUGAAGAAGGCCUUCGGGUUGUAAAGCCCUUUUGUUGGGAAAGAAAUCCAGCUGGUUAAUACCCGGUUGGGAUGACGGUACCCAAAGAAUAAGCACCGGCUAACUUCGUGCCAGCAGCCGCGGUAAUACGAAGGGUGCAAGCGUUACUCGGAAUUACUGGGCGUAAAGCGUGCGUAGGUGGUCGUUUAAGUCCGUUGUGAAAGCCCUGGGCUCAACCUGGGAACUGCAGUGGAUACUGGNCGACUAGAGUGUGGUAGAGGGUAGCGGAAUUCCUGGUGUAGCAGUGAAAUGCGUAGAGAUCAGGAGGAACAUCCAUGGCGAA
rnacentral:rRNA from 1 species